UUUAACCAAUAUAACACAAAAUUAUUAAUUAUGCAUUUCAUUAUACUUAAUAUUAAUUUAUUUUAUUUUAUAAUACGCAUAUAAAUACUUUUAUGUGUUAUAGUUCUUCAUAAACAUGGUGUGUAUCAAAAGACAGCUGUUUCUACGCAGUCAGUAGAUAAUUCUAUUGAAAGUGAAUCUAGCGAAGAUGAUGAAAAGGAAUUUGACAAUGAGAAAUUGACAAAAAAGUUAAAACGUAUUGCCAAAAAUCAAGAUACUCAGUCUUCAACAUUUAUUGAAUCACCAGAAAACCGAGUUUAUUUUAAUAAAUAUCUUGAUUAAUUAUUGGUUCAACAUUUUUAUUAAUCAGUUAAUUUUUCUAAUAUCAUAUAAUCUAAAUAUGAUAUUAAUAUAUAACAAAUUCAAGUUUAUUCAGUUUUAUGUGAAAGAGAAAUAAAUUAAAAUACAUAUCUUUAAAUAUAAAAUUACAGUAAAUAUAAAAUUUUUGAAAAUACAUUUAUUUUACUUUAAGUGCAUAAAGAUUUUUUAUGUGUAAAAAGCAGGAUUGAGAUGCUUAUGACAUUUUGUUGUAAACUUCAUAAUUAAAACAUCAAAUUAAUCAAUCCAUUUUGUUUAGAUCAUUUAAAACAAUUAUUUCAAACAACAAACACUUGAAAAAAUCAAGUUUAAAACAUAUAAAAAAAUUAUUAAGAAAAGAUAAUAAUAUAACAUUUUAAUCCUCUUUAAAACAAUUACCGCUAAUUUUUUAAUUAACAAAAAAAAAAAACAUUUUUCUCUAUCUGAGUAAAAUGUGGCCAAACCAGCACUCUUAAAAAUGUCUGAAUUUUCACAUACAUAUACUGGAUGUUUUCAAUGCAUAAAAUUUAGGGAAAAUUUUUAAUAAAUAAUGAUUUAAGUGUUAUUUUUUUGAUUUAAUUAUAAACCUCACCAUUUUGCCCAAAUAAAAUUAUUAGUAUUAUAAGUCUUUUUAUUAUCCUUAAAAUGUUAUAACUAAAUUUUGUAAC